rnacentral:sRNA from 1 species
CGCAGCAUGGCUUUGGUGCUUCGGAACGGCGGACAGCAGCUCCUAAGCGGUUUUUAUUUCCCUUAUCCGUAUGAGA